rnacentral:rRNA from 1 species
GGGUUGUGAGGUUAAGCGACUAAGCGUACACGGUGGAUGCCCUGGCAGUCAGAGGCGAUGAAGGACGUGCUAAUCUGCGAUAAGCGCCGGUAAGGUGAUAUGAACCGUUAUAACCGGCGAUUUCCGAAUGGGGAAACCCAGUGUGACUCGUCACACUAUCAUUAACUGAAUCCAUAGGUUAAUGAGGCGAACCGGGGGAACUGAAACAUCUAAGUACCCCGAGGAAAAGAAAUCAACCGAGAUUCCCCCAGUAGCGGCGAGCGAACGGGGAGGAGCCCAGAGCCUGAAUCAGCAUGUGUGUUAGUGGAAGCGUCUGGAAAGGCGCGC